UCGCCUGUUUUACAAAAACAUGUCCUUUUGAGUUUUAUUUAAGGUCUGACCUGCCCUAUGAGAAAUUAAAUGGCCGCGGUAUUUUAACCGUGCAAAGGUAGCAUAGUCACUUGUCUCUUAAUUGGAGGCUUGAAUGAAGGGUUGGACGAGAUAUAAACUUUCUUUAUUAUAUUGGGUUGAAUUUGACUUUUGAGUCAAAAGGCUUAAAUUUAUUUAUAGGACGAGAAGACCCUAUAGAAUUUUAUAUUUUAUUAUAAAUAAUUUAUUUGUUUAUAAUUAGAUUUUUUACAAUAAAAUAUUUUGUUGGGGCGAUGGGGAGAUUUUUUUAACUCUUUUUUUUUAUUAACAUUGAUAUAUGUAUUUUUGAUCCUUUUUUAGAGAUUAAAAGAUUAAAUUACCUUAGGGAUAACAGCGUAAUUCUUUUGGAGAGUUCUUAUCGAUAAAAGAGUUUGCGACCUCGAUGUUGGAUUAAAA
rnacentral:rRNA from 1 species